CACCCUUUCUCUGCGCCCUUCUUUUCUUCACACGAGAAAUAUCUCUACGUGAAUGUUUCUCAUGCCUAGAAGAAAAUUGAUGCCCACUUUUUGAUCUUUUUUAGAUUUGGAUGAGGUUAGUUUUAAAUUUGAGUUCAAAAGGUUUGAAUUUGAAUGAGAACUUAGAGUCCAAAUCUUGUUGGACUCUUCCCCACGUCGACUUCUCUUCCCAUGCAUGAGAAAAAUUUUUUGCAUGAU
rnacentral:lncRNA from 1 species